AUGGAGGCAAAAACAGAGAGUGCAACUCGUCUUCAAGAGAUCCUCGCGCUGUAUGAGGCUCAGUCUGGCGAGAAAAUCAAUAGGGACAAAUCUUAUGCUUUCUUCAGUAAGGGAACAAACAACCAAACUAAACAACAUGUGUUGCAUGUCCUUGGCAUACCUUUUGAAUCACAGAAUGAGCGGUAUCUCGGGUUACCGGUGCACAUUGGGGCAGCCAGGAGUAAGGAAUUUGAGUACAUAAAGGAAAAUAUCUGGAGAAGAAUCCAGGGAUGGAUAGAGAAGCUCUUGUCCAAAGUAGGUAAGGAAACACUAAUUAAAGCGGUUGCCCAGGCAAUACCCACAUAUGCAAUGUCCUGCUUUGAUCUUACAAAGAAUUUAUGUGAAGAGAUCACCUCCAUGAUCUGCCGUUACUGGUGGAUCCAGCAGGAUGGCCAGCACAAGUGUCACUGGGUUGGGCAAGAGAGAUUGAUGAAAGCAAAGAGGGAUGGAGGCCUUGGCUUCCGUGACCUUCACAUUUUCAACAUGGCGAUGCUUGCACGACAAUGCUGGAGACUAACUCAAAACCCAGAAUCGUUAUGUGUUGUGGUUCUCAAAGCCAAGUACCAUCCCAACUGCUCUAUUCUAAACACGACAAAACGAGAGGGCACGUCCUACACAUGGAGGAGUAUACUCCGGGGAAGAGAUUUCCUGAAGGAGGGCAUCGUAUGA
rnacentral:rRNA from 1 species